CAGUAGCCGCGGUAAUACAGAGGGUGCAAGCGUUAAUCGGAAUUACUGGGCGUAAAGCGCGCGUAGGUGGUUUGUUAAGUUGGAUGUGAAAUCCCCGGGCUCAACCUGGGAACUGCAUCCAAAACUGGCAAGCUAGAGUAUGGUAGAGGGUGGUGGAAUUUCCUGUGUAGCGGUGAAAUGCGUAGAUAUAGGAAGGAACACCAGUGGCGAAGGCGACCACCUGGACUGAUGCUGACACUGAGGUGCGAAAGCGUGGGGAGCAAACAGGAUUAGAUACCCCCGUAGUCCCUGUCUCUUAUAA
rnacentral:rRNA from 1 species